CGAGCCUAGGUCAGACGGAACUACCCACUGAGUUUAAGCAUAUCAAUAAGCGAAAAAGAAGAAACUUACAAGGAUUCCCCUAGUACUCGUGAGCGAACUAGGAUCAGCCCAACUUUAGGAUCAGAUGGCUUUGUCAUCCGAAUUGUAGUCUAUAGAAGCGUCCUCAGCGACGCACCAGUUCCAAGUCCCCUAGAAAGAGGGCGCUAGAGACGGUGAGCGCCCUAUUCUGUCUGAAUCCUAUCGCACCACGAGGUGUUGUCGGCUAGUCGGGUUGUUUAAGAAUGCAACCCUAAUUGGGAAGUAAAUUUCAUUCAAGGCUAAAUACUGGCAAGAAACCGAUAGUGAACAAGUACAAUGAGGGAAAAAUGAAAAGGACUUUGGAAAGAGAGUCAAAGAGUGGGUGAAAUUGUCGGGAGGGAAGCGGAUGGGGGCUGCCGAUACGCCUAGGUCGGAUGCAGAAUGGUAUGAGCUAGUCCGCAGCUCGACUAUAGACGUGGACCAAUGCAGAUUUUGAUGGUAUCCCAAGCCCAAGCAGUUUAUGUGCUUGUGGAUACGCCAUCGUUGUGAUUGUGGUGGGCAGCAUGCGCCAUCGGCGUGCUUAUGGAAACUGUGCACUCCCGGCUUUGGCUUGUGGGACUACCCGUUCGGCCCGUCUUGAAACAUGGACCAUGGAGUCUUACAUGUGUGUGAGUCAACGGGUAAGUAAACCCGUAAGGCAAAAGGAAGCUGAUUGGUGGGAUCCCCUUGUGGUUGCACCGCCAACCGACCUAGACCUUUUGAGAAGGGUUUGAGUGUGAGCAUACUUGUUGGGACCCAAAAGAUGGUGAACUAUGCCUGAGUGGGGCAAAGCCAGAGGAAACUCUAAUGGAAACCCGUAGCGAUACUGACAUGCAAAUCAUUCGUCUGACUUGGGUAUAGGGCCGAAAGACUAAUCGAACAAUUCAGUAGCUAGUUCCCUCCGAAGUUUAUCUCAGGAUAGUUGGAGCUCGAGUGCGAGUUCUACCGGGUAAAGCCAAUGAUUAGAGGCAUCGGAGGCGCAACACCUUCGACCUAUUCUCAAACUUUAAAUAGGUAGGACGGUGCGACUGCUUUGUCGAGCCAUACCAUGUAACUGAGAGCUCCAAGUGGGCCAUUUUUAGUAAGCAGAACUGGUGAUGUGGGAUGAACCGAAAGCCGGAUUACGGUGCCCAACUACGCGCUAACCUAGAAUCCACAAAGGGUGUUGGUUGAUUAAGAUAGCAGGACGAUGGUCAUGGAAGUCGAAAUCCGCUAAGGAGUGUGUAACAACUCACCUGCUGAAUCAACUAGCCCCGAAAAUGGAUGGCGCUUAAGCGCGACCCACACCGACUGUUGGGGCAAUUGUCAAACCCUAAUGAGUAGGAGGGCACGGCGGUAGUUGCAAAUCAUGGGCGUGAGCUUCCGUCGGUGCAAAUCUUGGUGGUAGUAGCAAACAUUCAAAUGAAAUCUUUGAAGGCUGAAGAAGGGAAAUGUUUCAUGUGAACGAAACUUGCACAUGGGUUAGUUGAUCCUAAGAGUUGAGGUAACCUCGUCAGAGAGCACAAAAUGCACAAAUUUCGAAAGGGACUUGGGUUAAAAUUCCUGAACCAGGACGCGGCGGUUGAUGGCAACGUUAGGAAGUCAGGAGACAUCGGCGGGGGCCUCGGGAAGAGUUAUCUUUUUUGUUUAAUAGCUUGCCCACCCUGGAAACGACUUAGUCGGAGGUCGAGUCUAGUGGCUGGAAGAUCACCGCACGUCGCGUGGUGUCCGAUUCGCCGUUGACGACCCUUGAAAAUCCGGAGGACCGAGUGCCGAUCACGCUCAGCCGUACUUAUAACUGCAUUAGGUCUCCAAGGUGAACAACCUCUGGUCGAUGGAACAAUGUAAGUAAGGGAAGUUGGCAACCUUGGGAAAAGGAUUGGCUCUGAGGACUUGGCUUGGGGGCCGUUGUCCAGAACCCGUCGGCUGUUGGUGGACUGUUCGAGCUCCUUCGGCGGCGAGAGCAGGUUACUGCAUGCGAACUGGGGGAUGGACUGGGAAUGGUCCCUUUGGGGGCCUUCCCCGGGCGACAAACAGUCGACUCAUAACUGGUAUAGACAAGUGGAAUUCGACUGUUUAAUUAAAACAAAACAUUACGAUGGUCCUUACGGAUGCUAACGCAAUGUGAUUUCUGCCCUGUGCUCUAAAUGUCAAAGUGUAGAAAUUCAACCAAGCGUGGGUAAACGUCGGGAGUAACUAUGACUCUAUUAAGGUAGCCAAAUGCUUCAUCAUCUAAUUAGUGACAAGCAUGAAAAGAUUAACGAGAUUCCCACUGUCCUUGUCUACUAUCCAUCGAAACCAUAGCUAAGGGAACAUGCUUGGCAGAAUCAGAGAGAAAAGAAGACCCUCUUGAGCUUGACUCUAGUUCGACUUUGUGAAAUGACUUGAGAGGUGUAGGAUAAGUGGGAGGCGUUAGCGGCGAAAGUGAAAUACCACUACUUUUAAUGUUAUUUUACUUAUUUCGUGAGUUGGAAGCGGGUCACUGCCCCUCUUUUUGGAUCCAAGGUUCAUCUUGGUGGCCCGAAUCGGGCGGAAGACAUUGUCAGGUGGGGAGUUUGGCUAGGGAGGCACAUCUAUUAAAAGAUAACGCAUGUGUCCUAAGAUGAGCUCAACGAGAACAAAAAUCUCGUGUAGAAUAGAAGGGUAAAAACUUGUUUGAUUCUGAUUUCCAAUACGAAUACGAACAGUGAAAGCGUUGCGAUUCUUUAGACCUUUGGAAUUUGAAGCUAGAGGUGUUAGAAAAGUUACCACAGGAAUAAUUGGCUUUUGGCAGCCAAGCGUUCAUAGCGACAUUGCUUUUUGAUCUUUCGAUGUCGGCUCUUCCUAUCAUUGUGAAUUAGAAUUAACCAAGUGUUGGAUUGUUCACCCAAAUGUGAGUUGGGUUUAGACCGUCGUUAGACAGGUUAGUUUUACCCUACAGAUGAUAGUGUCGCAAUGGUAAUUCAACCGAGUACAAGAGGAACCGUUGAUUCACACAAUUGGUCAUUGCGCUUGGUUGAAAAGCUAGUAGCGCGAAGCUACCGUGUGCAAGAUUAUGACUGAACACCUCUAAGUCAGAAUCCAAGCAAGAAAAGUGGUGCAUACGCCUGUCGCUCGGUUGUCGACCUGCAGUAGGGACCUUUAGGUUCGCAAAGGUACGUGUCAUUGGUGAAGCUCCGCAAUGGAUGAGUCGGGAGGGCAGUCUUGAAGUAAAAUUUCCAUCGAGUGGCGGGUAAAAUCUUUUGCAGAAGACCUAAAUAAGCAAUGGGGUAAUGUAAGUGGCAGAGUGGCCUUGCUGCCACGAUCCACUGGGAUUCA
rnacentral:rRNA from 1 species